rnacentral:lncRNA from 1 species
CUCAGGAGAGACUCAUAUACCUGUGAGACAAGAUCUGAGAAUACAGCCAGGUUCAGUGCAAGCAAUGGAAAUCAGUCUGAACUUUUCCUUCUCUGCUUGAGAAUGUUACAAACCACAAGUGUAGUUGUAGAGAAGAAAAGGGAGUUGUAGCUGCAAGAUGGUUCUUCUAAGAAAAGGAUGCUUUCAUUUCACAUUGCACAAAUAGCAGGGUUAUACUGUGAACUUAAGAACUUUCACUGGAAACCCAGCUCCUUUUUAAAGCACUGAAAGAUUUUGGACUAGAAGCUCAGCAGCUGUAAUCCACAUUCCCCAUGAACUGCAGGGGUCAUUGUUCAGAAUGGCAGUUACAGGUGUUUAGCUUUCAAGUGUAUACAAAAAAAAACCC